rnacentral:rRNA from 1 species
GACGUAGGGGGCGAGCGUUGUCCGGAUUUAUUGGGCGUAAAGCGCGCGUAGGCGGCCGCAUUAGUCGGAUGUGAAAACCCAGGGCUCAACCCUGGGCCUGCAUCCGAUACUGUGCGGCUCGAGGCAGGCAGGGGAGAGCGGAAUUCCUGGUGUAGCGGUGAAAUGCGCAGAUAUCAGGAGGAACACCGGUGGCGAAGGCGGCUCUCUGGGCCUGUCCUGACGCUCAUGCGCGAAAGCUAGGGGAGCAAACAGG